rnacentral:rRNA from 1 species
GACAGAGGAUGCAAGCGUUAUCCGGAAUGAUUGGGCGUAAAGCGUCUGUAGGUGGCUUUUUAAGUCUGCCGUCAAAUCCCAGGGCUUAACCCUGGACAGGCGGUGGAAACUACCAAGCUGGAGUACGGUAGGGGCAGGGGGAAUUUCCGGUGGAGCGGUGAAAUGCGUAGAGAUCGGAAAGAACACCACCGGCGAAAGCACUCUGCUGGGCCGACACUGACACUGAGAGACGAAAGCUAGGGGAGCGAAUGGG